rnacentral:sRNA from 1 species
GAAUGAGUACGUAUUUAAGUUUAAAACAGCCAAUUCCAUCUUUUUCAUGGAUUCUGCCAAUUAUAGAUCCUUCCAUUAUGAAGAAGAGUAAAGCCAGCAAGUUCACCAGAGCGCGAAGAAACAAGUCAUCUUGUCCUCAGGGACAGAAUUCAACGCCGUCAAAUCUCUCAUAUUGGGAAAGGUUUUAGAGGCUGCCGGCGCGGACCCGGACACAAGGCGGGCGGCGACUAGUGGCUUCACUGGCUGCCUCUCGGCGGUGCGCUUCGGCCGCGCUGCUCCCCUGAAGGCGGC